CCUACGGGGGGCUGCAGUGGGGAAUAUUGGACAAUGGGCGGAAGCCUGAUCCAGCAAUACCGCGUGUGUGAAGAAGGCCUGAGGGUUGUAAAGCACUUUCAAUAGGAAGGAAUACCUAUCCAUUAAUACUGGGUAGACUGACAUUACCUAUACAAGAAGCACCGGCUAACUCCGUGCCAGCAGCCGCGGUAAUACGGAGGCUGCAAGCGUUGAUGUGAAUUACUGGGCGUAAGCUCUGUAAAUCAGGCUCGAAAGCCCCGGGCUUAACCUGGGAAUGGCAUUUGAUACUGGCGAGCUAGAGUUGAGUAGAGGGGAGUGGAAUUUCAGGUGUAGCGGUGAAAUGCGUAGAGAUCUGAAGGAACACCAGUGGCGAAGGCGACUCCCUGGACUCAAACUGACGCUGAGGUACGAAAGCGUGGGUAGCAAACAGGAUUAGAUACCCGAGUAGUC
rnacentral:rRNA from 1 species